UAGUCAUAUGCUUGUCUUGAAGAUUAAGCCAUGCAAGUCUAAGUAUAAGUUUAUUAACGAAACUGCGAAUGGCUCAUUAAAACAGUUAUAAUCUAUAUGAGAUUUGUUGCUACACGGAUAACUGUGGUAAUUCUGGAGCUAAUACGUGCGUUAAACGCUGUUCUCAGCGGCAUUUAUUAGAUUUAAACCUGUAGUCGUAAGGCUGUUCGGUGAUCCAUGAUAAUCAAGUGAAUCGUUAUUUAUAACGAUAGCUCAUCUGAGUUUCUGACCUAUCAGCUGUUGACGGUAUGGUAUUGGCUUACCGUGGCUUUGACGGGUAACGGGGAAUUAGGGUUCGAUUCCGGAGAGGGAGCCUGAGAAAUGGCUACCACAUCUAAGGAAGGCAGCAGGCGCGCAAAUUACCCAAUCCUGACGCAGGGAGGUAGCUAUUGAUAUAGGGGCGUGAGGUCUUUUGACUUCUCUACUCCAAUGAGUUAAAUCCAAACCACUUAGCAAGUAUCGAUU
rnacentral:rRNA from 1 species